GGAGAGAUGGCCGAGUGGUCGAAGGCGCUCCCCUGCUAAGGGAGUAACGGUUCACGCCGUUCGUGGGUUCGAAUCCCACUCUCUCCGCCA
rnacentral:tRNA from 1 species